UCCAGGCACAUUUCACGAAGCAAAACGCAGUCUUCAGAGAUCUCUACGUGAACACUGUGAUACGUCUGACCUUCAGUCCGAAGCAGAAACCCAGACCAGUCUUAAAAGAAAGCACAAACCAAAUCCCCUGUACACAUAUACGGACUCAGAGGAUGAGCACCAUACUCGAGCCCCUCGAGUGAAAAUACCAGCCCUCACCACUCCGCAGUCUGCCCCCCAGCCCACUGAUAGCAACCAUCAUAAUGCCCCACCCAGCUUCCGGCACCUUUCGCCACUCCGGCACAACACACAAACCAACACAGCUUUGCGAUCUCCCCAGCAUGCAGUCUGAUGUCGAUGUCUUCCCUAUAGAUGAUUCCAGAGACUCUGUGAGGCCACUAUUACAAGAUGCGACCUCACAAAAGAUGUUAAUGAUGCAGUUAACAAACUCCGUGAAGAGGUCAGAGCCAACCGCCAUCCCUGCUGCAAUGAAUCUGUAGAUGCUGGGGUAUUGCCUCUGGAUUUGCCCUUGCACAACAUGGAGGAGCUAAACAAUGCAGGGGCAGCUCUUCAAUCAGGCAAAUAAGGCAAUGGUGAGACGCUUUGCCUUGAUUGGAGGGACCACACUGGAGGUGCGAGUCCACCGCACCGCCAAAUGAGCUGGCCUCGGUACUCAACUGGGCAGGGGAAAAAACCAAGGACCUUACAGAGCAAAAAAGGGCAUUUAAAGAGACAGCGCUGUGCAGAUGCAUAUUUGAUGGCCUGAUCCAGCAGGUAGGGGCGAACUCUAUGUCUGAGUUGGUCUUUGCUUAAGCAGUCCAGAAGUGGCUCAGAUAAGCUCCAGAUCGUACGGGUGGCGCAGGACGCACAUCAUCCAUCCCCAUCCCGGAGUAAAUAAUAAAAAGUGACGUGAAACAUAGAAAUGUAAAUAGGAAACUUUGUCUUUUUGCAAAUGAUACAUGUCUAUUGACCUUUUUUGUUUUUUUUCAAUAAAAAGCAACUGUGCAA
ensembl:lncRNA